UCCCUGGUGGUCCAGUGGAUAAGAAUCUGUCUGCCAGUACAGGGAGACACUGGUUCAAUCCCCGGCCUGGGGAG
rnacentral:tRNA from 1 species